CGAUUACUCAGUGCACCUGUGGAAACAGACAUAUUUGAUCAGAAAUCCUUCAGUCAUGAAGACACAUGCUGUUCUCUGGAUGUGAUUAAAAAGGAAAAAGCUGGAUUAAGACAGGAGAUAAAUAUGAGUGUGUUGGUCAAGGGCUUUUCUUGCUGCAGUGCUUCAGAUUGCUUGUCAGCUACAGCAAAUCCAUGCUGAUCCAUAAUUCACGGAUGUCCGGUUGAGUCCCAGCAUGAUGGAAUAGCAGCUCCGAGACACACGUGAAUGGAAAAGAAAAAGAUGCCGUGCUGGCGGGGGCCCGCUUUACAAGCAGCUGACUCGGAUUUGAAACACCUGGCAAUAAUCAGUUGGAGAAGCGUAAGGGAUGUUACAGCGCUCGGAAGGACGUCAGGUUUUUAUGAACCCGUGUGCAGACCAGGCAUUUGUCAUGGAAGAUAAAAGCCUUUGCCUCCUGGGUGCCGUGGUGCAUUGGGCUGCGUUACCAUCACAUGAGCGAACGCCUCAUAAAUCAACGUUUUGUGUCGAAUGCUUUUGUUUUUUGUAUCUUGUAAGCAGCAACUAAAAAAUGGAUCUGUUUUUAUAACAUAAGUGUUUGCAAAUCAUUAUUAACCUUUCUCAUAUUUAGAUCUAUUUUGAAAAAUUAUGUUCUUUUGAACUAUCAAUUCACCAAAGAAUCCUAAAAAAACAUAUCUCAGGAUCACAGGAAUGAAUUACACUUUAAAAAGAUAUUUUAACAUGUAAUAUUUCACAACAUAACUGUAUUUGUAUUUUUGAUCAAAUAA